GGGUCUGCUGUGGGCAGGGAUAGACUAAUAGGAACCUGGCAAAGUCAUUAGUGUAAAUUUUGGAGUGUACAACCUAAUGCUGUGGGAUGACUAUUUCACAGACAUGAUGCUAUGGCAGAUAUGAAGAUGUGCCGUCUCAUUGUGUCAGCAGAAACGUAAUAAUGCAAUGCAGGUUGUCGAGCCAAAUACGGCCUGAAUGGUGAGAAGCAGAGGUACAUGAAAUGGGGCCAUGCUAAGUUUCUUGCAGCAGACCAGAAUAGUACAUUCUUUUGGUCAGUGGAUGAAGGACCACGCUUUUCCCACUGACCUAAAUGAAGCCAAAGCCUCAGUCCCAGCAUUUCUACUGAAGUCCGUUCACAGUCACGGUGAACUUUCUCACGAGGAGUGUUUGGUCUCCAGCCUAAACUGACUCAUUCUUCAGCCAAAUUCUGCCCAAUAAAUGUAGUAAUGUUUCAUCUGCUGUCCAGCUGUCUGUCCUGACUCAACCGUGGGGGGAAAACUACAGGACUGUCACCAUGGAAGCAACCCACGGGCCUACUCAUCAUUCUGACAGUUUAAACAUGUUUCCGAGGAACAUCCUGAUCAUACCAUGGAAGUGACUGCAUGUCGUACGGUCACGUUGCUGCCUCUUAGCAGAGAGAGAUGAUUACCUCUGGAACAUUUUCAGAAUAAGAGCCAAGUCAUCUGGAGCUGAAACACAGCAGUUUCCUAAUAAGCACCCGCUUGAUCUCUGUAGACCUUUCUUUAAACAAUCAUUCAGCAUUGCCAGUUGUGAUUAAUCUGGAUUGCUGUGUUAAAACUACCAUUCAAAGGCCUUAUGGGAACAAAGUUUCACAAGCUUGUGAAAAAAACUGAGGGAAUUGUGCACACGGAGCAAUGAUUUUGUUAAAUCAAGGUUUUAUUUUCCCUUUUAUUCAACCACACAGCGUUGACUCUAAAAUACAACAAACUGGACAGACUACAGUGUUCCUAAAAAACAUCUAAAUAAAGUAGAUUUUGGGCA